rnacentral:rRNA from 1 species
AAUGAACGCUGGCGGCGUGCCUAAUACAUGCAAGUCGAGCGGACAGAUAAUGAGCUUGCUCCUUUGACGGUAGCGGCGGACGGGUGAGUAACGCGUGGAUAGCAUACUUCUAUUUCGGGAAUAACACCGGGAGACAACGUAUGAUGCUACAUAACACUUAGUACCGCAGGGUUCUAGAGUUAAUCGUGGUUUUGCUAUCACUUAUAGAUGGACUCGCGCCGGAUUAGCUAGUUGGUAAGGUAACGGCUUACCAAGGCAACGAUCCGUAGCCGACCUGAGAGGAUGAUCAGCCACACUGGAACUGAGACACGGUCCAGACUCCUACGGGAGGCAGCAGUGGGGAAUCUUGCGCAAUGGGCGAAAGCCUGACGCAGCAACGCCGCGUGAGUGAAGAAGGUCUUCGGAUCGUAAAACUCUGUUAUUAGGGAAGAAAAAAUGUGGAAGUAACUGUGGCCGUCUUGACGGUACCUAAUCAGAAAGCAACGGCUAACUACGUG